rnacentral:rRNA from 1 species
AUUGAACGCUGGCGGCAUGCCUAACACAUGCAAGUCGAGCGAGUGGCGGACGGGUGAGUAAUGUAUGGGAACGUGCCAUAUGGCGGGGGAUAACUACUGGAAACGGUAGCUAAUACCGCAUACAAUCGGAUGAGCCGAUAUGGGAUUAGCUAGUUGGUGAGGUAACGGCUCACCUAGGCGACGAUCCCUAGCUGGUCUGAGAGGAUGAUCAGCCACACUGGGACUGAGACACGGCCCAGACGCCUACGGGAGGCAGCAGUGGGGAAUAUUGCACAAUGGGGGCAAGCCUGAUGCAGCCAUGCCGCGUGUAUGAAGAAGGCCUUCGGGUUGUAAAGUACUUUCAGUCGGGAGGCGUUACCGACAGAAGAAGCACUGGCUAACUCCGUGCCAGCAGUCGCGGUAAUUC